GAACCCUCCCCAGCCCAGGGAACGAGCCCUGCCCUGCUCCCCCUGAAGACCCACAACAGGCAGCACUAACGUGGGUAUCGCAGGCAGGCCGCCCGAGGACGCGUCUUAGCGGGCUGCAAUGAGAGUGGAAAACCAGCAAAAACUGAACUAAAUGCGGACCAAUGCAAAGUCUUGCACUCGGGGCCCCAAACUCAAAAACCAUCAGGGCAGGUCCGAGACCAGACAAAGAAAGCGUUUAUGGAGCCUAGACUUGGCGCACGUCAUCCGGGUGAAAACCCCCGCGUGGCACCAGCGUCCCCGUCCUACGGGGCAGGUGCUCAGCUCAGCCAGGCGCCUCUCAGAAAGCGAGACCACCCAUGGCUUCCCCUCCGAAGCUGGGUAGCAGAACAGGACUGAACAAGGUGAUGGGGGGGUGGCGCUGGGAUCCCCAACUGACAACAUUUCAGCAGCCUCCUCUCCGCUGGGGUCCUGCGGGAGGGCCCGGCCAGCCCGGGCUUUGGCAUACACCCUCUGCAUCCGCCAGGUGGUUCUCAAGGCACGCUCCCCAGACCCGCAGAACCAGCAGCACCUGGGAACUUACUAGAAAUGCAAAUACUCGGGCCCCGCCCCCAGACCCGAAAAUCAGCAACUCCGGGGGCGGGACCCAGCCACGGAGGGGGUUUAAUAAGCCCGCCAGGUGAUUCGGCUGCCUGCUCCGGUUGAUUGAGGGCCACUGCUGUGCCGGGAGCCGCUUUCAAGGACCUGGGCUCCUUCCGGCUCCUCCCGCAGGAGCCUGGAGGUUGGGACCAGGAUGCCUGUCUCCAUCAACACUGUGGUCCUUAACUAACGAGCGAGUGUCAGGAGUGAACACACAGAUGGGAAGAUUCAGCCGCGUCAACAAAUAGCAAGGUCUGUGGAGAAGCCAGCUGCCAUGUCACGAGGACACUCAAGCGACCCUGGUGGAGAAGUCUACACGGGGAACAAAGUCCUCCCCCAUCAAUAACCAUGACAAAGGUCACCCGGGUGGGACCAGAAGACAGAAGCAGCAGAGAGAGGUUCCUCCCGAGGCAGCACAGAGGGGCCCAAACACCUGUUUAUUGAUCUCCUUUCGAGUUCCAUUAAGCCCAGGUGAGGAAAUCGUGACUCCGAGAGGUCAACGCUCCGGGAUGUCCUAGCAAAGCCACCGGCAAAGGCAGAGGGACAGUUUCGUCUUCCCGGCUGGCAACGCUGCUCGUUCAACUCCCGUCCCCCUCUGAGUCCUCUAGGGACCUCACAGUCUGCCUACCUGGUCUAUUCUACCUCCCGAGGGCCACACAAUCUGCUGAUUUUUCUUCAUUAACUCCAUGGGAGAUGAAGAAAAACAGAGCCUACGUGGGGACCUUGUCAGCUAAAGGGGUCUUGCGGGAAGACGACAAGACGUUUUUGGAGGGGACGUGGUGAAGUGGUCGAGAGCAUAGACUCUUAAGGCGGGACUGCCUGGAUGGGAAUCCUGGUUGUAGGAUUUCAGGCGACACCCACCGAGGCCGGCUGCUCUCAGACGCUCAGUCCGUACGUCAACCGCCCAAUUCUGCAAGAACCGCCAAAACAGCAGAGCCGAACCCUAACCGAGAGGUUGCUGGAAUCCGGGUCCCAGAGCCUGAUUCGCGGUCCGAUGGAAACAGUCCAGUGAAGAGGCGGAAACCGAGCUGUUCUGCUGGGCCACUGUCUGCAAGUCUUGCCCUGAAAGACAGGCGUCAAGAAGCUCCUAGAAGGGAUAGUGAAGCUUUGUGUCUGCGAGCACCUGCCAUCCUUGUCUAGACUGCACUCUGGAUUUGAUUUGGGGAAUUCAACAAAACUGGGAUCCUGGAGAGUUUCUGACAACAAACGUCUUUCAAACACCGAUGAUGGAUGCCACGUCAUAUGAGGUGCCGUGGGGACAUGAAGUCAGGCAAGAUGUAGUUUUCCCCUUAAGAUGUUCAUAAUCUAGAAGAACAAGUCUCGUCUACGGGUCACCUGAGCACCAGAAGAAUUAUGAUCAAUGUUAUAAGGAAGGGACCCGGGCGGGAAUGUAACCUGGUUCCAUGAGUGCCCCUCACAAAGUUAACUGGGACAUUGUGUGUGUGCACGUGUGCCCUCAGGGCAAGGAGAGAGUGUCCAUAGUUUCCAUGAGAUUGUCAAAGCUUUCGGUGAUUUUUUUUUUUCCUGUGUAAUCCUUCUAGAAAUUAAAAGAAAAGAAGAAUCACAUUUGGUUGGGCUGGAGGAGGGAUGGGAAGCAGAGGUGGAGGCUUUUGGAGGAGGGAGGUGCCCGAGACCAGCCUCCAAGCACAGGUACAAUUUCAGUAGGCGCGGAUCUGGGGAAGGCCCUGGCAGAGGAAGUGUUGUGACCGGAUCGGGGUGGUGGCAAAGCCUGGGGGUGCGUUCAGGGAAUUAGGAUUAAUCCAGUUUGUGGGGUCACUGGGACAGGGACUAGAGGAGAGCGUAAAAGUAGCAGAGCCGGGAUUUGGUAUCACAAGCUGACCUGAUACUUGCCAUUGAUUACAUAUUUGUCAGCGGUCCAGCUCUGUGCCCUGCCUUCAGGGAAGGAGGAACUGUGCCCCGAAGAAGCUCAUGUUUUAGUUUAGAGGGAGAGGUGUGAACAGGCAGGAAACAAAGUUGGUUUAAGUACAACAGGAACUCAACGUUUUGGCCAGAGUAUUGAGUGAAGCUUCAGAAGGAGGUGCAGAUUUCCAGCAGGCAGUUAAAAACCUCAGGUCUAAAUGUUUGGAGAGUCGCCGGGGCUACAGAAAGAUACAUUUGGGAACAUUCCCUUUGAUACUGAUUUCUCAUUAAGACUAACAUCCUUGUGACGUUUAAUUCUGGCGUGGCACACUGCAUUCAGAAAUGACCAGUGGAGUCUUUGGUCCUCUCUGAACACACUUAAACAUUCAGAAGAGGAAUGUCGUUCGCGUAUUUUGCACAGUUAACCUGUACUCCCCGUGCAGACUGCAUUAAGGGCAGACCUCUUCAUGGAACCAAGUCACAAGUCACCUGGACAAGGAGCGGCUUACCCCAGGGGCCUGGUGGGGGGUGGGGAACCAGAUGCACUAGGACAAAGGACACAGGACCUGAUUCCGACUUCCCCAGGAAGGACUGCGCUCAGAGGCCUCUUGGAGCCCUCUCUGAAUUCCACCAGCCAACCCUUCCUUAUCAUUUCCUGCCUUGUUUUUUUUUUUUGCUUUAUUCACUUUUUUUUUUUAACCAGACUGCAAGUUUCCUAGGCUUACCCACUUACAUCACACGUAUUGCAACGCACCCAUCGCCAACAUUAAAUAACUGCAUUUUGCUCUAAAAAUUUGGGAAAGGGCUUUUGAUGAUUUGCACUUUUCGGCAGAACAAGUAAUUCGUUUUGCUCUUGUGACUUAAACUCUGUUAUAUGUAAUUAUGUAAGCCAUGUUACAGUUGAC